rnacentral:rRNA from 1 species
CGCGACCCCAGGUCAGGCGGGGCUACCCGCUGAGUUUAAGCAUAUUCAAUAAGCGGAGGAAAAGAAACUAAUGAGAUCCCCUUAGAACCGCCAACCGACCGGGAAAUU